AAAGGUGUGCUAAUACCGCAUAAUCUCUCAGGAGAAAAGCAGGGGAUCGCAAGACCUUGCGCUUUAGGAGCGGCCGAUGCCUGAUUAGCUUGUUGGUAAGGUAAAAGCUUACCAAGGCUUCGAUCAGUAGCUGGUCUGAGAGGACGACCAGCCACACUGGGACUGAGACACGGCCCAGACUCCUACGGGAGGCAGCAGUGGGGAAUUUUGGACAAUGGGGGAAACCCUGAUCCAGCCAUGCCGCGUGAGUGAAGAAGGCCUUCGGGUUGUAAAGCUCUUUCAGCCGGAACGAAACGGUUACGAUUAAUACUCGUAAUUAAUGACGGUACCGGCAGAAGAAGCACCGGCUAACUACGUGCCAGCAGCCGCGGUAAUACGUAGGGUGCGAGCGUUAAUCGGAAUUACUGGGCGUAAAGGGUCCGCAGGUUGUUUUGUAAGUCAGAUGUGAAAGCCCCGGGCUUAACCUGGGAACUGCGUCUGAAACUACAAGGCUAGAGUAUGGCAGAGGGGGGUGGAAUUCCGCGUGUAGCAGUGAAAUGCGUAGAUAUGUGGAGGAACACCGAUGGCGAAGGCAGCCCCCUGGGUCAAUACUGACGCUGAGGGACGAAAGCAUGGGGAGCAAACAGGAUUAGAUACCCUGGUAGUCCAUGCCCUAAACGAUGUCAACUAGUUGUCGGGCCUUUACGGGCUUGGUAACGUAGCUAACGCGUGAAGUUGACCGCCUGGGGAGUACGAUCGCAAGAUUAAAACUCAAAUGAAUUGACGGGGACCCGCACAAGCGGUGGAUUAUGUGGAUUAAUUCGAUGCAACGCGAAAAACCUUACCUACCCUUGACAUGUAUCGAAGCCCGCAGAAAAGCGGGGGUGCCCGAAAGGGAACGAUAACACAGGUGCUGCAUGGCUGUCGUCAGCUCGUGUCGUGAGAUGUUGGGUUAAGUCCCGCAACGAGCGCAACCCUUGUCAUUAAUUGCCAUCAUUUAGUUGGGCACUUUAAUGAGACUGCCGGUGACAAACCGGAGGAAGGUGGGGAUGACGUCAAGUCC
rnacentral:rRNA from 1 species